CUGAGGUAGAGUGGUUGACCCCCUGAUGGGAGGAUCACAGGCUUGGUUCCUACGCUGCCUGCUCAUGAGUCGAAGUGUCCUUGGGCAAGACGCUGAACCCCACAUUGCUCCUGGUGAUUCAGGUUGACACAAAGCCCAUCAAGGAUAUUAACGGAUAGGCCGGCAGCCUGUGGGGUGGAUCUGUUGGCGGUGAUUGGCUCUUCUCUCUUGCCAAUGAGUGUUGACGAGGAGUUCCAUGGAUGUUGUCACCAGAGAGGAAGCCAGCGAGACGUGGACCCGAAGGUAAGUUAUCUUCCUUGUGUGUGGUGGAACACAGUAAUGACGAGGCAGGUGAAGUUGGAACUUGCAGCUUGUGAUCCGACAGUGGAAAC
rnacentral:lncRNA from 1 species